UACGUAGGGUGCGAGCGUUAAUCGGAAUUACUGGGCGUAAAGCGUGCGCAGGCGGUUUUGUAAGACAGAGGUGAAAUCCCCAGGCUCAACCUGGGAACUGCGUCCGAUACUGGAUGGCUUGAAUUCGGGAGAGGGAUGCAGAAUUCCAGGUGUAGCGGUGAAAUGCGUAGAUAUCUGGAGGAAUACCGGUGGCGAAGGCGGCAUCCUGGACCGACAUUGACGCUGAGGAGCGAAAGCUAGGGGAGCAAACGGG
rnacentral:rRNA from 1 species